UUGUGACGUCAUAAGGUGCCCUCGGUAACUUUAAAAGCAAGGUGAAAGCGCCUUGAGGACCACACAGGGGAAGAUUCGGCAGCCAAGCAGAGAAACAAGACGAGGACGGACCAACAGGAACAAUUUUAAGCAUAAUGAAGUCGCACGUUUACACAGUUCUGUUCGUAUCCUGUUUACUACUAUGUCUAGCCGUCAGCGAGGUCGAAAUGCUCCACAGAAAGUUCUUCCGAUUUGGGCGGGGCCUCCAAAAAAAGAACAGGGUUCCCGUGUUCGAGAAUGACUAUGACGACGACUUGUACCGAGACCGAUGGCAGGAGCUUCUUCACAAAGGAUACUUGAACUCGCUCCAGGUCCCAACGGACGAUAGAGAUCAACGGACAACGAGAAACUAGGAAAAUUGAAGGCGCCUUCGCUUGAUUAACUUGGAAAGGAAAAAGAAAGAACUUAACCUGGAAAUUCCAUAUUCCUGGAUAUGAAAAAGUGGGUCAUUUACGACGCGUCAAUCUUCUCUCGCCGCCGCCAUCUUUACAGACACCGAGUAUUAUUUCUUCAUAAGAAAUUAUCAAAAUAUUGGAAUGCAUAUAUCUAUUUUAACUAAUAUAGACAUUGGCAGAGUAGAGUCAAAGUAUAAUGUGUAAAUAGAUCACAAAAAAUGUCAAAACCUCAAAGGUUCUUUUGAAAAAUAAAGAAAAAUAUUAUAUUGA